CCCCCCGGCCCCCCCCGGCGCGGCUUUUUACCAAGCGGGUACGAAAAAGUGACGGAAAAGAUGGGGAGAGAUCAGAGAAGACGACAGAAACGUCAACUUUUCCGCGUUUUGGAGUGUGUGAUAGGGUGAUCACAGCAGGAUCGAAUGGACCUCAUAUGAUCAGACGGACAGAGAUAUAUGAGGACGUCGGUGGACCAACGUGCCGGACGGGGCAGGCAAGCAGCACCAUCUAGGUUCUGGUUGUUGUGCUUUUAACCCAAAAAAAAGGUACGAAUUUUGAACCAAAAAAAAGGUACGAAUUUUAGAAAGCGAUGAAAAAGGCUGCAAGCUGCACCCGUCCAACCGGGAUAUACGUACAUUGGCCCCCACAGGCUCAUCCUGAUAUGGUGUUUAACGGGAAAAAAAAAGGUCAGAUCAUUGUCACUUCACUUACGUGCACGUCAUUUCCAAGUUAACUUUGGAACCAGAGCUUGGUUCAAUUGGCUUUGGGCUAAUAUGAAAAUUACGACUCAGACUUCUUUACCCAUAAGAAGAGGCCCUUGAGUUUUAAAUAUUUCAACGAAUCUAGCUUGUAGUUUGGUGAAAUUUCUAUGUAUGGUUGCAGUCUCAGCUAGAUUCAAAGGAAUGAUAAGUUUCUACGAAUGAUGAGUAGUUGCUUGACGUACGCUUUCUCCAUUAUGAUUAACAUAAAAAUUCGAUAAUUUUGAUCAAAAGAUUGAUGCUGUUCAGGCUCCAGAGUGACGUUUGCAGCACGUGUUUCCUUCAUAGCUAUUAGCCUGGCGUGACAGGGCCCACUUCUUUAGCAUUUUAAGUUGUAGCAUCCCCGUAAAUACUAAUAAAUACAAAAGAGUCCUCGUAUAUGCUAAUAUAUAUAAGGGAGGCAUGGGACACCAAAAUCGAAAGGAAACACGAGGCCAGACACUGUUGCACAAUAACCCUUUAUGCAACAAGAACCCUAAAUCUCAUGUAGAUUCAUACAUCGCAUAAUUUAAUAGCUAAAGUAUAAUGGCAAGAUAAUAUCAAUAAAUAAACUAAAAGGACAGUCAAAGGCUUUGGCCAGCAUUAAUUCAACUCGAAGGAAGACGAAGUGGAUAUGAGAUGAAGGAGGCCAUCCCUAUCUCACCGAAAGAUAUUUGAAGCAAGCUGGCAGCUCGAUCAAGUGACCGGGACUCAAUAACGCUUAGACCAAGAUUUGAUGAAGAGUUAUUUCGAGAAUGCCUACUUCCAGGUUUGUAGCUUAUUGCUUAUUAUAUUUUUUUAUUAGAAAGAUAUA